GACGAACGCUGGCGGCGUGCUUAACACAUGCAAGUCGAACGGAAAGGCUCUGCUUUUGUGGGGUGCUCGAGUGGCGAACGGGUGAGUAACACGUGAGUAACCUGCCCUUGACUUUGGGAUAACUUCAGGAAACUGGGGCUAAUACCGGAUAGGAGCUCCUGCUGCAUGGUGGGGGUUGGAAAGUUUCGGCGGUUGGGGAUGGACUCGCGGCUUAUCAGCUUGUUGGUGGGGUAGUGGCUUACCAAGGCUUUGACGGGUAGCCGGCCUGAGAGGGUGACCGGCCACAUUGGGACUGAGAUACGGCCCAGACUACUACGGGAGGCAGCAGUGGGGAAUAUUGCACAAUGGGCGGAAGCCUGAUGCAGCAACGCCGCGUGCGGGAUGACGGCCUUCGGGUUGUAAACCGCUUUCGCCUGUGACGAAGCGUGAGUGACGGUAAUGGGUAAAGAAGCACCGGCUAACUACGUG
rnacentral:rRNA from 1 species